GGAGUCGGUCAAAAGCUGAAUACUAACAAUUCUUUUCAUUAUCGAUUCAACAGAGAUCCCCGCCCAGAUGCCAGGUGUGUUGCAGUUCAUGUUCUUAACUAGAGCUGCAACGAUUAGUCGAUUAAUUGAUUGAUAAAUCCAGUGAAAGAAACUUGAUUGGCAACUGUUUUGAUAAACUUUAAAGUCACUUUUCAAGCAAAAAUGCCCCAAAAAUCUGAUAUUUCCUGGUUCUCAAAUGAGAGAAUUUGCUGCUUUUCUUUGUUUUACAUUACAGUAAAUUUCAUAUUUUGGGGUUUUGGACGGUUUGUAAAGACAUUUAAUGUCUGCUGGAGAAUAUUGUGAUGAACAUUUUUCACUGUUUUUGGAUGUUUCAUAGAGCAGAGGAUUAACUGAUUUAUCGAGAAAGUAUAGAGCAGAUUUAGUGAUAAUGGAAAUAAUUAGAGCUGCAACGAUUAAUCGAUUAGUCAGUAACUAUUUUGAUAAUUGAUUAAUUGGUUUGAGUAUUUUUCUAAGAAAAGAAAAAUCAGAAAUCCCUGAUUCUAACUUCUUAAAUGUGAAUAUAUUCUGGUUUCUCUACUCCUCUAGGACAGUAAACUGAAUAUCUUUAAAU